rnacentral:tRNA from 1 species
UACGACGGUGAUUUCGUCAUCGUCGAGAUUCGUCCCUCCACGUACAACUCCAACGGCCGCAUGGUCAUCGAGAUCCG